ACAAAAAUGCACAUGCUGUGAGCUCGAUGAGUAGGGCGGGACACGUGGUAUCCUGUCUGAAUAUGGGGGGACCAUCCUCCAAGGCUAAAUACUCCUGACUGACCGAUAGUGAACCAGUACCGUGAGGGAAAGGCGAAAAGAACCCCGGCGAGGGGAGUGAAAAAGAACCUGAAACCGUGUACGUACAAGCAGUGGGAGCACGCUUAGGCGUGUGACUGCGUACCUUUUGUAUAAUGGGUCAGCGACUUAUAUUCUGUAGCAAGGUUAACCGAAUAGGGGAGCCGAAGGGAAACCGAGUCUUAACUGGGCGUUAAGUUGCAGGGUAUAGACCCGAAACCCGGUGAUCUAGCCAUGGGCAGGUUGAAGGUUGGGUAACACUAACUGGAGGACCGAACCGACUAAUGUUGAAAAAUUAGCGGAUGACUUGUGGCUGGGGGUGAAAGGCCAAUCAAACCGGGAGAUAGCUGGUUCUCCCCGAAAGCUAUUUAGGUAGCGCCUCGUGAAUUCAUCUCCGGGGGUAGAGCACUGUUUCGGCAAGGGGGUCAUCCCGACUUACCAACCCGAUGCAAACUGCGAAUACCGGAGAAUGUUAUCACGGGAGACACACGGCGGGUGCUAACGUCCGUCGUGAAGAGGGAAACAACCCAGACCGCCAGCUAAGGUCCCAAAGUCAUGGUUAAGUGGGAAACGAUGUGGGAAGGCCCAGACAGCCAGGAUGUUGGCUUAGAAGCAGCCAUCAUUUAAAGAAAGCGUAAUAGCUCACUGGUCGAGUCGGCCUGCGCGGAAGAUGUAACGGGGCUAAACCAUGCACCGAAGCUGCGGCAGCGACGCUUAUGCGUUGUUGGGUAGGGGAGCGUUCUGUAAGCCUGCGAAGGUGUGCUGUGAGG
rnacentral:rRNA from 1 species